CUCGUAGGCGGUUCAGUAAGUCGGGUGUGAAAACUCAGGGCUCAACCCUGAGACGCCACUCGAUACUGCUGUGACUUGAGUACGGUAGGGGAGCGGGGAAUUCCUGGUGUAGCGGUGAAAUGCGCAGAUAUCAGGAGGAACACCAGUGGCGAAGGCGCCGCUCUGGGCCGUAACUGACGCUGAGGAGCGAAAGCGUGGGUAGCAAACA
rnacentral:rRNA from 1 species